rnacentral:sRNA from 1 species
GGGGAAUUUUCCGCAAUGGGCGAAAGCCUGACGGAGCAAUACCGCGUGGGGGAGGAAGGCUCUUGGGUUGUAAACCUCUUUUCUCAGGGAAUAAUAAAUGAAGGUACCUGAGGAAUCAGCAUCGGCUAACUCCGUGCCAGCAGCCGCGGUAAUACGGAGGAUGCAAGCGUUAUCCCGAAUGAUUGGGCGUAAAGGGUCCGCAGGUGGCAGUGUAAGUCUGCUGUUAAAGAGUCUGGCUCAACCAGAUCAAGGCAGUGGAAACUACACAGCUAGAGUUCGAUAGGGGCAGAGGGAAUUCCUGGUGUAGCGGUGAAAUGCGUAGAGAUCAGGAAGAACACCGGUGGCGAAAGCGCUCUGCUAGGUCGCAACUGACACUGAGGGACGAAAGCUAGGGGAGCGAAUGGGAUUAGAUACCCCAGUAGUCCUAGCCGUAAACGAUGGAUACUAGGCGUUGCUUGUAUCGACCCAAGCAGUGCCGUAGCUAACGCGUUAAGUAUCCCGCCUGGGGAGUACGCACGCAAGUGUGAAACUCAAAGGAAUUGACGGGGGCCCGCACAAGCGGUGGAGUAUGUGGUUUAAUUCGAUGCAACGCGAAGAACCUUACCAGGACUUGACAUGUCGCGAAUUGAGGUGAAAGCUUCAAGUGCCUUCGGGAGCGCGAACACAGGUGGUGCAUGGCUGUCGUCAGCUCGUGUCGUGAGAUGUUGGGUUAAGUCCCGCAACGAGCGCAACCCUCGUUCUUAGUUGCCAGCACUUCGGGUGGGCACUCUAAGAAGACUGCCGGUGACAAACCGGAGGAAGGUGGGGAUGACGUCAAGUCAGCAUGCCCCUUACGUCCUGGGCUACACACGUACUACAAUGCUGUGGACAAUGGGCAGCAAGCAUGCGAAUGCAAGCAAAUCUCAUAAACCAUGGCUCAGUUCAGAUCGAAGGCUGCAACUCGCCUUCGUGAAGGUGGAAUCGCUAGUAAUUGCAGGUCAGCAUACUGCAGUGAAUUCGUUCCCGGGCCUUGUACACACCGCCCGUCACACCAUGGAAGCUGGUAGUGCCCGAAGUCGUUACCCUAACCCAAAAGGAAGGGGACGCCGAAGGCAGGACUGGUGACUGGGGUGAAGUCGUAACAAGGUAGCCGUACCGGAAGGUGUGGCUGGAUCACCUCCUUUUCAGGGAGACCAACUUUAAGGCAGAAGUUAGAAGGCUUGAGAGCAGAAGAAAUAAAGCUUGAUGAGCAAAAGAAAACUUCACCUUAGGGACAUCCCAGGUCGUUCGAGGAUGAGUAGAACAGCUUUCAAACUAUUAGAUGGUUCGUCAAUAAUUGUGAAAUUAAUCUAACACGAGCAAAGUUCAGCAAUCUGACUUAUUUGGUCAGUCUGCUGGAAUUUCAUCCAGCCAGAACCUUGAAAACUGCAUAGUAACGCGAAUAAAGCAGGUAGUUAAUUGUUAAUGGUUAAUUGUGAAGUGAACAAUCAACUUUUAACAAUCAACAGACACCAAUAGAUUAGUGGUCAAGCUAAUCAAGGCUAAUGGUGGAUACCUAGGCACACAGAG